AUUGAACGCUGGCGGCAGGCCUAACACAUGCAAGUCGAACGAGUGGCGGACGGGUUGGUAAUGUCUGUGCAACUGCCUGAUGGAGGGGGAUAACUACUGGGCGCGGUAGCUACUACCGCAUUCCAUCGCAUGUGCCCAGAUGGGAUUAGCUAGUAGGAGGGGUAAAGGCUCACCUAGGCGACGAUCCGUAGCUGGGCUGAGAGGAUGACCAGUCACACUGGAACUGAGACACGGGCCAGACUCCUACGGGAGGCAGCAGUGGGGAAUAUUGCACAAUGGGCGCAAGCCUGAUGCAGCCAUGCCGCGUGUAUGAAGAAGGCCUUCGGGUUGUAAAGUACUUUAAGCGGGGAGGCGUUACCAGCAGAAGAAGCACCGGCUAACUCCGUGCCAGCCGCCGCGGUAAUAC
rnacentral:rRNA from 1 species